CCAUUUCAGAAAGACUAUUUGAAGUCUUGGUACAUAAAGAAGGAUGAAACAUGCUCAGACUCAAACUUAGACUAAGUAUAUAGUUUAAUUUCUACAAGGCCUCCCUUUUAAGUUUUAGGGAAUUUAAAUGAAGUAUAUACAAAUUAGACAUUGCCAAUAUAUACAAAAGUAUUUUCUACUGUUUUUGAACAAUACCAGCUAUAUUGUUUCAUUUGCAAUAAAGAGGACAUUACAAAAACAGUCCAAUAAUGCAUUUUCUGUUAAGAAGCACAAUACACGAUGUAAUUC
rnacentral:lncRNA from 1 species